UACGUAGGGUGCAAGCGUUGUCCGGAAUUACUGGGCGUAAAGGGCGCGUAGGCGGCCUGCUAAGUCGGACGUGAAAUCCCUCGGCUCAACCGAGGAACUGCGUCCGAUACUGGUGGGCUUGAAUCCGGGAGAGGGAUGUGGAAUUCCAGGUGUAGCGGUGAAAUGCGUAGAUAUCUGGAGGAACACCGGUGGCGAAGGCGGCAUCCUGGACCGGUAUUGACGCUGAGGCGCGAAAGCUAGGGGAGCAAACGGG
rnacentral:rRNA from 1 species